rnacentral:rRNA from 1 species
UACAGAGGGUGCGAGCGUUUAUCGGAAUUACUGGGCGUAAAGGGUGCGUAGGUGGUUUGAUAAGUCAGGUGUGAAAUCCCCGGGCUUAACCUGGGAAUUGCAUUUGAUACUGUCAAACUAGAGUGUGGUAGAGGUAAGCGGAAUUCCCGGUGUAGCGGUGAAAUGCGUAGAUAUCGGGAGGAACAUCAGUGGCGAAGGCGGCUUACUGGACUAACACUGACACUGAGGCACGAAAGCGUGGGUAGCAAACAGG